rnacentral:lncRNA from 1 species
CAAAGUUAGACCCAACCUGUUGAUAUCUGGCACCAGAAGUAAUUCCAAAAUGCAGAUGCUGGGAGAAGAUUUUGGAUCUGGAUCUUGCACGAAUGGCUUGACCAUGAGGACUCCCAUCAGUAGUGGCGAGUGGGGUGCAGAGGGUCCUAGCACAAUGCAGAGAGGACCAGUACUCCUGGCAAGACGGUGGUCGAGAGGGAGCGAGUGACAUGAUUUCUUAAGCCUGUCAGAGGUUCACACUUG